UGAUGCUCACUCUGUCUCUUCAAAUGUGUUUUUUGCCUCUUAGUACUCCUUUUAAUUUUUUCUUGAUAGCCAGACAUGAUAGACUGAGUAAAAG